rnacentral:piRNA from 1 species
UUACUCUUAACAUGUGCAAUG